rnacentral:rRNA from 1 species
UACGUAGGGGCCGAGCGUUGUCCGGAGUUAUUGGGCGUAAAGCGCGCGCAGGCGGCCUCGCGCGCCCGACGUGAAAGCCCCCGGCUUAACCGGGGAGGGUCGUUGGGGACGGCGGGGCUUGAGGGCGGGAGAGGGCGGUGGAAUUCCCGGUGUAGUGGUGAAAUGCGUAGAGAUCGGGAGGAACACCUGUGGCGAAGGCAGCCGUCUGGGCCGACCCUGACGCUGAGGCGCGAAGGCGUGGGGAGCGAACGGG